rnacentral:lncRNA from 1 species
GCAGGUUUCCCAGGGAAGCUGUGGAUGCCCCAUCCGUGGAAGUGUUCAAGGCCAGGCUGGAUGGGCCUUUGAUCAACCUGAUUUAGUGGGAGGUGUCCCUGUCCAUGCCAGUGGGGUUGGAAUCAGGUGAACUUUAAGAUUCUUUCCAACUGAAAGAAUUCUGUGAUUCUAUGACUCUAUAUGGAUCCACAAGCACGAUAUGAAACACAAUCCAAAAGUGGUAAUUGUAUGCCACAUACUACGUGUGGCACGUACUGUCCAGGAAGCCUGUAAGAGCAUGGCACAAUGCAGCCCAUCACACCUAUGUGCAGCUGCCACCUUUUAACAAGAUAAUCACAGAAUCACAGAAUAGUUGAGGUUGGAAGGGACCUCUAGACAUCAUCCAGUCCAACCCCUGCCAAGCAGGGUCACCUAGAGCAUGUUGUACAGGAUCAUAUCCAGGUGGGUUUUGAACAUCUCCGGAGAAGGAGACUCCACAGCUUCUCUGGGCAGCCCAUUCCAGUACUCUGUCACGUCAUAGUAAGGAAGUGUUUUCUCAUAUUCGGCUGGAAUUUCCCGUGUUUCAGUUUGUGCCUGUUGCCUCUUGUCUUGUCAACAGACACCAUUGAGAAGAGUCUGGCCCUGUUCUCUUGACACUCUCCCUCCAGAUAUUUAUACACAUUGAUAAGAUCCACUCUCAGCUGUCUCUUCUCCAAGCUAAACAGGUCCAGCUCUCUUGUAUGACAGAUGUUGCAGCUCCCUUAUCAUCUUAGCAGCCCUCUGCUGAAAUCACUCCAGUAGCUAGAUGUCCCUCUUGUAAUGGGGAGCCCAGAACUGGACAAAAUACUCCAGGUAUGGAGUAUGGCUGGUGGUUCAACAGUGUUCAAGAAAAUCAGGCAAAAAGGACAUUCAUCUGAUUGAUAUUGCCUUUCUAUGAACCAGCAAGAGCAUGGGUAGUUUUGCAUUGGCAACUGUCAUGAUUCCUCCAUCCUCCUGUAACAACUACUGUUAUUAUGCUUCCAUCUCACUGCAACAGGACCUUUCAAAUGCGUCAUCAAUGGGUCCAUCCAGAAGAUCUGUGAUUUUUCUGAACUCUAAGCUACAUAGAAGUACAAAUUAUUCCUACUCUGGUCCUCUUUAAGAGCUGUCACUGUGAGAGAACUGUCAUGAAAAAUUUGAACUGAAUGCUUGAUUUUAAGCACAGAAAAGAUGCUGAAGAUCUUUUUGCCUGAAACCUUCCUCUGUGCUUGAAAGAUGUGUAUGCAACUGGGAGAUGAAAAGAUGGGCUUUAAGGAGACCUGGAGAAGCUUAAGAUACUCUGUGUAAAACAUAACACAGAAAUAUUAAAAGCGAUAAGGGAAGAGACAUGAAAAGGGUUACAAUGCCUGACUGAAUAAAUUAGGUGGAAAAAUCUGAGAUGUGGACUGA